rnacentral:lncRNA from 1 species
GUUGUUGAGGGUCAAGCUUAGCUUAAAUUUCUGCUUCAGUUUCCUUUGGUGAUCGGCAGAGAGGUAGUGUGUCCAUGCCAUAGGGUCAGAUGAAGAGACAGAGGCCCUUUUGUAGCUAACAUGUCAUGUCAGUGGUUAAAAAGCUGAGGCUCGAGUUUGAGGAGACUUUGAGGAUGCUCCCUCCACUGGUGUCUACCCUCCUAGAAGCAGGAUGGGGAGGAGGGAGCAGGGGCAGGACAGGUGUACUUAGGGUUAUCAGUGCGCCCCUGCUCACUCCCUACGUGCAGCGAGUCAUCUCUGAAGUAAGCCUUCCCAGGUCCAGGAAGGCUGAGCGCAGAGUUGUCCUGGAGGCUGCCCAGGCGCUUUACUGCUGAGCCAUCAAGACCAGCGCCAAGCCACCAGCAGCAGCAGCAGAGGAGCUCUGUCCCUGGCACGCUGUAACUAGAUGCUAACAUGCAGGAAUGCAGAAGUGAAAUGCUCAAGUAACAUGGCAACUGGGAUUUGUGCAAGGGGAUGCAGCUCAGCAGCCUAAGCAAAAGGUGCAGCAAGGACUUUUCAGUGACACAGGUUUAUCCUCCUCCUAGGAGCCUUACAGGAUUUGGACCCCUCCACUAACAAGGGUCUCCACUAAGCUCGGGCCCAGUCUACAUGACAACCACUGCAUCAUUACGACGCCCUCCUGGUCCUGUUCACCAGGCCACUGUUAUAGCCAUCAGCUUUCUGCUUCCUCUUCUCUGUCCUGAACAGUUCCUAGUCUCGACCACUGAGGGAUGUGUGGGUACCAGAAAGAGCCACGUGGGUGUGGUUUCUGCUUUAAGGAGCCAAAUAACAAAAAAAAAAAAAAAAGAUGAGAUAAAACAGAAUCUCACCUAUGAAGACAGAAACCCACAGGCCAACAGUACUUCUAUAGUUUGGAAUCACUAGCAUAUAGGUCUGGAAGUGAAUGGGAGGGGCUUGGGUUCUUAAAUCCAGGGGCCAUGUCCAAGUACAGCUGCUUUAUGACCUGACACAGACACACAGACAGACACACACACACACACACACACACACACACACACACCUUGUGAUUUCAUUUCCAGAGUUUUCAGUAGGGGACAGCAAGCAAACAAGUAGGAGAGUGGUAAAUAUGGGCCAUGAGUUUAGGACACAGACUGCUACAUUUCUAUCUAAUCUGCACACUGAAGCCCAUGCCCCCUCUGACUGCCCCUGAAUUCAGGCUUCCUUAACACAUCCACCAACUGGCGUUUCCUUUUGCUCACUGUCAUUCCUACAUUAACAACUGCAAGCUUCAUUGUCCUAUCUAGGAAGAGGCAAACCACUGCACUUAUUGUGGACUCAGUCUCUGCCUCCAGAAAAUGGGUAUAAGGAUGUUGGAAGAAAGUUUCUGAACACGUGAAUUUUGGUAAAUUCACGCCAAGGGAGCCUGGGUGGGAGGAGGUAUUUGUCGUCUUAUGUAAUAUAGUAUUAUAUAAUGCUAGAUUGCAUAUCCAUAUGUGUAAUUAUAUCUCCCUUUAAGAUACAGGCUGGCCCAAUUAAGCCAGGAGAACUUUUUUGUCUAAUCAGGCCUGUCUUAAGUGAGGAUCCUGUCCAGACGACACCAUGGCAAUAUUAAUGUAACUUCUGUUCUAGAAUAUUACUACUUUUCUGGAUCACUGCUGAUGCAUGACAAUACAAACCAUGCGGUGAACUUUCCCACUGUCCCUUUCCCUCUGGCACACCCUUCUUCAGUGACUGGACACUGUUCCUCUCAGUUGUCCCAGCCCCAUUCCUCCAGAGCCUCCUGACCAUCCUCCACCCUCAUCCAGGGUAUCACAACCUCCAAUUCACUGAUUCCACCCCCUUGACAAUCCUGAAGCCACUGAGAUUUCCUCCCCAACUCUUGUCCCCAAGUUACCCCCCCCCCCCUUCACAAACAGUGUCCUGCACGUCAGCUUCCCCAGUUCUUUGUGCUCUGUCCAGGACAGAUCCGAAGGUGUGCUCGGAUUACCCACAAACCUCAAGGGCUCCCAUUCCCACCCCCGCACCCCUACACACACUGUUUGCAGAGCUCAAAAGCCCCCCUUUCCCUCCCACAGCUGAUAGGAGGCUUGUUCAUCUGUGGCUGCCCUAGUCUGGUUGUCAAGGAAACGACAAUCUCCCUGGGAGCCUGGCUUGUCUCCUAGCAACCAAUAUCCCACAUCCUGCAUCUUACAAAAAAAAAAAAAAAAACGUGAAAGGGAGGAAAAUCGAGAAAAUGAAAGUAAAAAGCAAGGAAGGUGGAUAGAAAGGAAGACUCGGGAGGAGAGGAGCAAAGGAAAGGCUACCCGAACAUUAACAAAGAAAGCUCAAGAAUUCCACCAGUAGUUUGCCAAAACUCAGCUGGACAGACCACAGU